CCGAUCCAUUAAACUCCUACUCGACCCAGUCUUUACCAUCUACCAAACGAUGCCGUUUCUUUUAUAAAAUAUCUUGGCCGUUGAUCUUGGUUGAUCCAAUGGCCAAGAUCAAAUCCUUCAUUUGGUACAUAAGUCCAAUACCAUACCCCGCCCCUAAGCCAAUACCCCCUCUCAGCUCUCUAAGCUCAGAGAGCUCCCCUGUAGCUCCGUCGUGGACCACACUAAUUCCGCCUACCAUAUAUUGCCUCACGGCGGUUCCAGUAGGCCAAACGACCCCAUCUUCACACUACAGGCUCUCACAACCUUCCUUCUCUGAAUACACACCCAGUUUCCUUCGAAUCAUCCUUGACCUCUUCGAAUCUACAAUCGAAUGUCGACUGGAAAAGUGACCUCUCCAAUGACCACCAUCUUCAAACCAUAGCUUCCUCACGACCCCCUCACUCCACUCCCAGAUCCAGUUUCCUUCGAAUCAAACGAAUUCGUUUCAAUCUUUAUUCCCGUUGAAGAACCCUAACCGCCGCCAUAAGACCCCAGUGGCGGCGGCGCCCCCUUUGACCCCAAAUCAAUGCCCUAUCUCCAUUGGGCCUUCCUCAUCCCAUAUCCACUUUCGUUCCCUUUCAAAUACCACCCUAACUCCCUAAACCCUAAAUCACAGAAAACCUUGACUUUGAUUUGAAAUUCGAGUUUGGUCUUUUGAGGGUCCAUUUCGUUUGAAUUGGAGUUUAGCCAUGUGUUUUCAUAUUGAAACACACGAUUAAACUCUGUUUCAAAUCCAAAUCAAGAAAAGGGGACGAGUGACAGUAAAUUCGGCCCGUUUUAAUUUUCCAUGUAUUGUUUUCAAUUCCUUUUCUUUGUAUUUUUAUUCUUUUGUUUCCAGUUCAAUAUUUCUUCUUCUUCUCCUUCAUUCUAUUUUUUUUUCUUUGUUUCUGUUAAUUGAACCAAGUGUGAAAUUAGCUCUUUGGUAUUUGAAUUUGCUUACUCGGUUCGAUUCUGGCUAACGUUUGAUUCGUUUAAUUGAGUCGUUCAUCGAAUCGAACUGUUUAGUCAAUUAAAAUGUCAUUGAGUUUUGGUCAUUAGUUUCUGUAUUGAUCUGUCGAUCAGUUUAGGAACUGUUUGUCUGAAUCCAUAUGUAAAUUGAUUAUAGGUGUGUAGUUAUUUAGUUGUGAAUAAUCAUAAGUUAGUUCUGGUCGAUUGUUAGCUUUGAACAUAUUUUAGAAUUAAGGUGUUUAAUAUAGUUUAAUAAGUUCAGCUCCAUCCACUGCAUUUAGGCAGUAACAGUAGGGGUUUUAGGGGUAUUUUGGGAAUGAAAAGUGGGCAGAAUUGACGAAGUUAAUGGCCUGUUAUUCAAGCCUUAAUAUGUGCCUUGAAUUAAGGAGGAAAUUAAGGGAAAAACACCUUUGAGUAGGUUUUUCAAAAGGGGUAGGCAGACUUUUGUUAUUUGGGGGGGNNNNNNNNNNNNNNNNNNNNNNNNNNNNNNNNNNNNNNNNNNNNNNNNNNNNNNNNNNNNNNNNNNNNNNNNNNNNNNNNNNNNNNNNNNNNNNNNNNNNNNNNNNNNNNNNNNNNNNNNNNNNNNNNNNNNNNNNNNNNNNNGGGGGGGGGGGGGGGGUCAGUUGGUUAUGUUUUUCAAAAGGGGCAGGUAUGUUUUGGGUUAUAAAUAGAACAGAGUUUGGACAUAAUAGGGAGCUUUUUUAAUCAAUUAGAGAUUGAGAGCUUAAGACUGAAUUUUUGAAAUAGAAAUUGAGAACUGAGAGUGAAAAUAUAGACUGAAAUUUGAGAGCGAGAUAUUCAAAACUUAUGAGUAAAAAAAAUCAGUUCGAAAGAAGACAUUAAGAGUAAGAGUUUUAGACAGCCAGCUAGUUCAAUUAAACUUGUUCCAUUGAAAAAUACCAAAAGUGCUAUUGCAUUGUUUCUCUGGUUCACAAUUUGAUCAAGUUUUCUUCUUUUUUGAUUACUGGAUUGCUGGAAGGUCACUAUUUGGUUCUCGUUUGAUUUUGGGUGUUCAAAUUAGCUCCUUAGGUUGCUUGUUUUGCUGUGUUUCUAUUGAGGUUGCCUGGGUUUGUUGGAAGCUAUUUUUGAGGUCCAAAUUACUCUUGUUUUGGUUGAUUGUGGUUGCUGGUUAUCUGUUAUUGUGCUGUUGUUGUUGUGCUUGUGUUAUUGCUGCACUACUGACCUUCCUCUCCCUCUUUGGCAUUUCCAAAUACCACGUACACGACUCUUAUACUGGUACAAUAUAGCUGGAACUGUUCGAAGCACGAGUAAAAGUGAGCCUUAAGGCUCGUACUUAUUAGUUUUUUUAGAUUCUGUAUAUGUAUAUGAUAGCUUUAGCUCAUUAGAAUGGCGUGGUUAAUUGCAAUGUAUCAAGAGGCUCAAUCUGUAAUAAAUCCAAGUUCAGUCAUGUAUGCUAGUUAGGAAAGAACAAUGAAUUAGCAUGUCCAUGUAGGCUCAAUCUUUAAUAAUUCAAGUUUAGACCCAUGUAUGCUAGUUAGGAAAGAACAAUGAAUUAGCAUGUCCAUUCUUCCGUUUUUUUGUUUUCAUUUCAGUUAUAGCAUAUUCAAGCAUGUAUUAGACUCCAAGUUACAUAAUUGGUAGAUCAUGUUCUUAGUUAAUAAUUUGACCAUUUAGCUUCAUAAAAACAGUAUUCCUUAACUUUAAUUUCUUUCCACCAUAUCGCAAACUCGGAAAAGAGUAUAGUACUAUGUAACUGGGCCCAAAUAGAGUAGGAUGGCCCAGACCCAGUCUUACAUCACUCACGUCUGGCCUAGGCCCAAAAACUGUUCUGCUACUCUUUCCCCCCUUUUCAUUGCUAAAUUGAUACCAUGUUUAUAACUUAGGCUAAUAAUUUUAGCAUGUAAAUAAUAUAGGAUUUUCUUUUCAUUUUAGAGAUGCAAAUAAAAAAAAUUAGAAAAGAUUAGUUGCUUCAGUACAUCCUUUAAAAUGAAAUAGGGCGUGCCUCGCCAAAACAAAUAGCAAAUCGCAGGUCCCUCAUAAAUGUAUAUAUUAACUACUUAGAUUUCGGGAGGGGCCGUUUAGUGAAUUUCACGGCCUUUCCCAAAAAUAAUAGUAUUAGGUGCGUGCUAUGUAAUCUUAGGUUCUUAAACUCGGGUGUGCAUUUCAUGCGACCCAAAUCCAAAUCCCAAAACGUGGAAUCAGAUGUGUUCAGGAUUGCGGGUUCAUUUCGUGCGGCGCAAUCCAAAGACAUGUCUCAGACGAUGUUCAAUUUUCUUUAAUAAAUUAAAUAAAAGUGAUUAAAAGUUAAAAUAGGCACAUAAGUUACAACAUGUAUAAAAUCAGAUAAAUAAGCUAAACAUGACAGUUGAGCGACCGUGCUAGAACCACAGAACUCGGAAAUGCCUAACACCUUCUUCCGGCUUAAUCGAAUUCCUCAUUCGGAUUUCUUGUUCGCGGAUUGUUAAACAGAGUCAUUCUUUCCUUGAUUCGGGAUUCAACUGGUGACUUGGGACACCAUAAAUCUUCCAAGUGGCGACUCUGAAUCUUAAUAUCGAAUCUCGUUUUUUUUGUCCUUUAAUUGGAAAAAACUCCCUUGCCCCUUGCGGGGCAGUAAAAAGGAGGUGUGACAAAAAGAAAAUUAGAGCAAUAACUCAAGUAGUGAUUUAAGUAUUGUUUUUCAGAGUAAAGGAGCAAAACAAGAAAAUGAUCCCCCCAAAUAUAUUCUGUUUGUUCUGCACCAAUCAGUACAAUAACUAGUAGUAAUUCUUAGCCUUCCCUGUAAGAGGAAGAUUACAGAAAAUAAGUCACCACACAUUACAUUUCAUUUUUUCUGUACGAUAACUAGUUAUUUUGUACCACCCGCCGACUAAGAUUAAUAGUGGCAGCCAAAAGAGAAAUCUAUAUCAGAAGGAAGUAAAGUGCCAUUCGCCGUGCAACUACUAUACACUUCAUAAGCAAUGAAUUAUCAAAGAUAUCUGAAACAGAAUACACAAAAUAAAACUUGUAACAUGACGAGCUUCAAAUAUGUUUAGAAACAAAGUAACACAUAAAAUGCGACGAGUAAAAUUAUCAGCAAAAUUGGUACUUUUAAAACAAAAUGCAGUAGAAAUGAUACUCCUACAGCUAGCUUAUAGAGAUAUGAACCUUAUGCAAUAGUAAACAAGCAACUGCUAUACCAAGAAUUAGACAUCAUUAGUUGUUCCCAAGUUGCUAAUUUAAGCCACAAUUGCAGCAUCAAUUGCAAUAAAGAUGAGUAAGAACACAAGAUC
rnacentral:lncRNA from 1 species